UAAAUAUCACAGGGGAGCUCUUGCUGAGAAAGGCACAUGCCUGACCCUCAUGACCUGAUCCGGACAAUGCCGGCGCGGGGAGUGAAGCACAGCCCCUC
rnacentral:ncRNA from 2 species